rnacentral:snRNA from 1 species
GUGCUCACUUCGGCAGCACAUAUGCUAAAAUUGGAACAAUACAGAGAAUAUUAGCAUGGCCCCUGUGCAAGGAUGACAAAAUAAUUAUCCUGAUUAU